ACGGAAGGCAGCAGUGGGGAAUAUUGCACAAUGGGCGAAAGCCUGAUGCAGCGACGCCGCGUGAGGGAUGACGGCCUUCGGGUUGUAAACCUCUUUCAGUAGGGAAGAAGCGAAAGUGACGGUACCUGCAGAAGAAGCGCCGGCUAACUACGUGCCAGCAGCCGCGGUAAUACGUAGGGCGCAAGCGUUAUCCGGAUUUAUUGGGCGUAAAGAGCUCGUAGGCGGUUUGUCGCGUCUGCCGUGAAAGUCCGAGGCUCAACCUCGGAUCUGCGGUGGGUACGGGCAGACUAGAGUGAUGUAGGGGAGACUGGAAUUCCUGGUGUAGCGGUGAAAUGCGCAGAUAUCAGGAGGAACACCGAUGGCGAAGGCAGGUCUCUGGGCAUUUACUGACGCUGAGGAGCGAAAGCAUGGGGAGCGAACAGGAUUAGAUACCCUGGUA
rnacentral:rRNA from 1 species